GACGAACGCUGGCGGCGUGCUUAACACAUGCAAGUCGAACGGAAAGGCCUGCUUUCCCUUGUGGAUUGCGGGUACUCGAGUGGCGAACGGGUGAGUAACACGUGAGUGAUCUGCCCCCAACUUGGGUAUAAGCCUGGGAAACUGGGUCUAAUUCCCGAUAGGACUGCAGGGUGGUGCCUGUGGUGGAAAACGAUUUUCUAGUGGUUGGGGAUGAGCUCGCGGCCUAUCAGCUUGUUGGUGGGGUAAUGGCCUACCAAGGCGGCGACGGGUAGCCGGCCUGAGAGGGUGGACGGCGACAUUGGGACUGAGAUACGGCCCAGACUCCUACGGGAGGCAGCAGUGGGGAAUAUUGCACAAUGGGCGGAAGCCUGAUGCAGCGACGCCGCGUGGGGGAUGACGGCCUUCGGGUUGUAAACCCCUUUCGACCGCGAGGAAGCCACCUGGUUGGAAGGGUGGUGACGGUAGUGGUAGAAGAAGCACCGGCUAACUACGUG
rnacentral:rRNA from 1 species